GAUGAACGCUGGCGGCGUGCUUAACACAUGCAAGUCGAACGAAGCAUUUGCGACAGAUUUUUUCGGAAUGAAGUUGCUUAUGACUGAGUGGCGGACGGGUGAGUAACGCGUGGGUAACCUGCCUUGUACUGGGGGAUAGCAGCUGGAAACGGCUGGUAAUACCGCAUAAGCGCACAAUGUUGCAUGACAUGGUGUGAAAAACUCCGGUGGUAUAAGAUGGACCCGCGUCUGAUUAGCUAGUUGGUGAGAUAACAGCCCACCAAGGCGACGAUCAGUAGCCGACCUGAGAGGGUGACCGGCCACAUUGGGACUGAGACACGGCCCAGACUCCUACGGGAGGCAGCAGUGGGGAAUAUUACACAAUGGAGGAAACUCUGAUGCAGCGACGCCGCGUGAGUGAAGAAGUAAUUCGUUAUGUAAAGCUCUAUCAGCAGGGAAGAUAGUGACGGUACCUGACGAAGAAGCUCCGGCUAAAUACGUG
rnacentral:rRNA from 1 species